GAAAGGCCAAGAAAGUGGCAGCCAUCCAACGACCCUAGAACCUCCACGGGACUAGGAUACAUCAGGCCAUCCGUGUGCCACAUGGCGAGCAUCAAGGGCGUCCAACAAGGAGGCGCAAAUGCAGCAGCAAAAUUCCUUCCAAAAAAUCAUUUCUUUCAAUACUCACUUGUUACGUUAUUGUUAUCUUAUUAGUUAACAAUCCUAAUGAUUGGAUUCAUAUGUUUAAUUCCUUAUAGGAACUCGUUUUUUAUAUAGGAAAUCCACGCUUCAAAAAAGAAGUGAAGUGAGGCUUUCCAAGCCGAACGAAACG
rnacentral:lncRNA from 1 species